rnacentral:rRNA from 1 species
AUUGAACGCUGGCGGCAGGCCUAACACAUGCAAGUCGAACGAGUGGCGGACGGGUGAGUAAUGUCUGGGAAACUGCCUGAUGGAGGGGGAUAACUACUGGAAACGGUAGCUAAUACCGCAUACCAUCAGAUCUGCCCAAAUGGGAUUAGCUUGUUGGUGGGGUAACGGCUCACCAAGGCAACGAUCCCUAGCUGGUUUGAGAGGAUGACCAGCCAAACUGGAACUGAGACACGGUCCAGACUCCUACGGGAGGCAGCAGUGGGGAAUAUUGGACAAUGGGCGCAAGCCUGAUGCAGCCAUGCCGCGUGUAUGAUGAAGGCCUUCGGGUUGUAAAGUACUUUCGGCAGGGAGGCGUUACCCGCAGAAGAAGCACCGGCUAACUCCGUGCCAGCAGCCGCGGUAAUUC